rnacentral:rRNA from 1 species
UAUUAAAGGUCCCGCCUGCCCAGUGACUAUUUAAACGGCCGCGGUAUCCUAACCGUGCAAAGGUAGCAUAAUCACUUGUCCCCUAAAUAGGGACUGGUAUGAAUGGCUAAAUGAGGACUAAACUGUCUCUUGCGGACUGGCCAAUGAAAUUGAUUUUCCAGUACAAAAGCUGGAAUGUACUCAUAAGACGAGAAGACCCUGUGGAGCUUCAAAACCAAAUCACCCAGCAUGUUCAUUGGAUUUUUAGUUGGGGCGACUUCGGAAUAUAGUAAAACUUCCAAAAUAAAUUAAUUCCAUCAAGAUUAACACACCAAAAUUUCUUUAUAGAUCCAGCAAAUAAUUUUAUUUAUCUGAUCAAUGAACCAAGUUACCCCAGGGAUAACAGCGCAAUCUCCUUUUAGAGUCCAUAUCGACAAGGGGGUUUACGACCUCGAUGUUGGAUCAGGACACCCCAAUGGUGCAGCCGCCAUUAAAGGUUCGUUUGUUCAACGAUUAACAGUCCUACGUGAUCUGAGUUCAGACCGGA